rnacentral:rRNA from 1 species
CGCGGAUCUAUAAUGCAGUCGAGCGGGGUUAGUUAGAAGCUUGCUUCUAACUAACCUAGCGGCGGACGGGUGAGUAACACGUAGGCAACCUGCCCACAAGACAGGGAUAACUACCGGAAACGGUAGCUAAUACCCGAUACAUCCUUUUCCUGCAUGGGAGAAGGAGGAAAGGCGGAGCAAUCUGUCACUUGUGGAUGGGCCUGCGGCGCAUUAGCUAGUUGGUGGGGUAAAGGCCUACCAAGGCGACGAUGCGUAGCCGACCUGAGAGGGUGAUCGGCCACACUGGGACUGAGACACGGCCCAGACUCCUACGGGAGGCAGCAGUAGGGAAUCUUCCGCAAUGGGCGAAAGCCUGACGGAGCAACGCCGCGUGAGUGAUGAAGGUUUUCGGAUCGUAAAGCUCUGUUGCCAGGGAAGAACGCCUGAUAGAGUAACUGCUCUUGAAGUGACGGUACCUGAGAAGAAAGCCCCGGCUAACUACGUGCCAGCAGCCGCGGUAAUACGUAGGGGGCAAGCGUUGUCCGGAAUUAUUGGGCGUAAAGCGCGCGCAGGCGGCUCUUUAAGUCUGGUGUUUAAUCCCGAGGCUCAACUUCGGGUCGCACUGGAAACUGGGGAGCUUGAGUGCAGAAGAGGAGAGUGGAAUUCCACGUGUAGCGGUGAAAUGCGUAGAGAUGUGGAGGAACACCAGUGGCGAAGGCGACUCUCUGGGCUGUAACUGACGCUGAGGCGCGAAAGCGUGGGGAGCAAACACGCGAUAUACACCUCGCGCGUGGUAAAAACA